UAAAGGAAGAAAAUAACUUUAAUGGUAUAAGUUAAUUCAUUAAUCAGUCAGUUUCAUAUCUUGAAAGAAGUAAGUUCUGGAAAUGUUAAACAAGAAAACACACAGACAAAGUCCUGAAUUGUAUGUGUAAAAUGUAAUAUAAAAGGGGUAAACAAUAAGGUAUAGAUGAAACAGAUAAAGAAUAUGAUUAUUAUGAUCAGGAUAAUGCAAUUAUAAUGUAUGGUGACAUUAUAUAUUUAGUAAUGAGAUAAGACGCGGUAUUGUUUGAAUGACUUGAUCAGAAAAUGGUCAAAAAGAAAAAGUUGAUAAAGGAAUUUUGGGAUUCUAUUUGGAUUUAAAGGAGGGCUCUGAAUAGACACGACUCAAGACUCAAUCUUCCAACACCAGCAACCAGCAAUCAGAUUUUGAGUUUAAAAAGAUGAUUAUAAUACAUUCAAUGUGAUAAUUACAAAUAUCUAGAUGAAGAAAGACAUAAAUGUUCAUUUGAUGCAGAAUUGAACGCUGUGGUUUAAUUCAGUUCUUCAGCAGUCCUUCAACAGAUGGUCAAUUUUACAACUUUGCAGAGACUGGUUUCGGUCACAGUUCAUGUCUUUGGGGUCAAUUCAUAGAUAGCAGAGUGUUCUGUUUCCACUCGAUUGUUUAUUCCAGGUGUUGUAAAAGUUCAUAAUAUCCUGUCUGAGAGGGAGACUUAAAUCAUUGAUCAGUUCCUUUGUUCCU